AGCUGAUUGGUUUUUUUUUGGUAGAUUGGUAUCAUCUGUCAAGUGCGAUGGAAACUUUUUGUCGACAAGACCUGUAUUAAUAACAUUAAUAGUAUUCACAGAAUCUAUACUAUCAAAAUAACAAUUUUCCAAUUCCAAAUUGAAAGAAAAGUCGAAAAUGUUCCGACUAAAUAAACCUUUUCCAGUUGCUAUAUUAGUUAGUUUAGUGUACAUAUGUGAUAAUUGGCUCAUCUUUUGUAACAGUGAAGCCACAGACAUUGAAUUAGAUGCAAAAGCAAAUUUUAAUCAUCGAAUAGAUAGUUUGAACCUAUUGUUGUACACUUUUUUGCUGACAUUGACCGUGUUGACAAUUUGGUUAUUCAAACAUCAUCGGGUCUCCUGGCUGCACGAGACAGGAUUGGCUGUGAUAUAUGGUCUCAUUGUUGGUGCCAUAAUCAGAUACGCUGGAACGACUACACCAGUCAUCCAUUUAAAUGUUCAGGCAGACAAUGACACAAAGUUCAAUCAAAGUUUACCACCGGACACGUUAUGGCUGAAAUUUCCUGGAAAGCUGCAACCAGACCAUCAAAACAAAAUACCAAACGAGACGUACGCCUACACAUUUCGAGGUCAGGUCGUUCAGCUGGAAGAUAACGAAAUGGAUCUGAAGGCAACAUUCGACCCGGAAAUAUUCUUCAAUAUCAUUUUGCCGCCAAUUAUAUUUUAUGCCGGGUACUCUCUCAAGCGGAAAUACUUCUUUCGUAACCUUGGGGCCAUUCUUACAUUCGCUAUUAUUGGAACCACCAUAUCCGCAUUUUUAAUUGGCGUUUUAAUGUACGGAGCUGUUAAACUGUGGCCGGCAGCGCUGAGCAACAGUUUCACUUUCCUGGAUACAUUAUUUUUCGGUGCGCUGAUAUCACCCACAGACCCACUGACAAUAUUGGCCAUUUUUAGUGACUUACAGGUCGAUGUAAAUUUGUAUGCGCUGGUGUUUGGUGAGAGUGUUCUGAAUGACGCAGUGGCGAUAGUCCUCAGCGGAGCGAUACAAAAUUACGGCAAACAUUAUUCGAGCACCGGUGGAUUCGAGUUGAAUGCAUUCUUCAAAGCCUUGGGGAAUUUCGGUGGAAUUUUUAUGUUGUCGCUAAUUAUUGGCGCCGCAAUGGGUUGCAUCACGGCAUUGCUGACGAAAUUUACUCGCGUCAAGGAUUUUCCACUACUCGAAUCGGCCCUGUUCGUGCUGAUGUCGUACAGUACAUUUUUGAUUGCCGAAGCAACGGAACUGACCGGAGUGGUGUCGGUUCUAUUUUGUGGAAUAUGCCAGGCCCAUUACACGUACAACAAUUUGUCGGAUGAUUCACGACUUCGGACGAAGCAGAUAUUUGAAUUGUUGAAUUUCUUAGCCGAAAAUUUCAUAUUUUCCUACAUUGGCGUCAGCAUGUUCACCUUCCCGAAGCAUCAUUUCGAUCCGUGGUUCUUAACAGCUGGAUUUGUGUGUGCAGCAAUUGGCCGGGCGGCAAACAUUUAUCCUCUUGCAUUUCUGCUGAACUUGGGUCGAAAACCGAAGAUUUCGAUGAAUUUCCAACACAUGCUCUUCUUUGCCGGACUGAGAGGUGCCAUGUCGUUCAGUCUUGCGUUCCGAAAUACCGUGUCCGAAGCACGACAAGCCAUGCUGACAACCACGUCAAUGAUUGUCAUCGUCACGGUGAUAUGCCAGGGCGGAGCAUCCAAUUUCCUCCUGAAGUGGCUGAAAAUUCCAGUUGGCGUUGACGACGAAAAUGAAGCCCUCAACUAUCAGUCGAUAAGAAGUCUUUACAAUUCUAUGGAGAAUACAACUGGGGAUUUAGAAAAUGGAGAAACAGAAGCUGUACAACCACAACCAGCAGCAGCACAACCACCACGAUCUCAUGAAAAAGCUGUGCUUGCACGCGUAUGGGGAAAUUUCGAUAGAAAUUACAUGAAACCGUUCCUGACGCAUUCGAGACCGACUCUACUUGACACACUACCGAAUUGCUGUAGUCCCAUUGCAAGGCUAUUAACCACAACCGAACAGUUGACUCAGGAACGUGACAUACGCCAUGCUGAUUCCGAUUCGGAUCUUUGCAUAAACAGUAACGACAAUUGGGGCAAUGCAAGCGGCAAUCAACAUCGUAAUUCGAUCGGUCGUACAUCAACCAGUUUAUUGUAUAUAUGAACACUUUUGUACAGAAAUGGUAACAACUAACACGUCCUGAGUACUGUGAAAGUUUAGUCAAAAUCAGAAUACUACAAAUUUGGCGUGUCGGUGAUAGUCCUCGCCUUCGGCUCGAACUAUAAACUUCCCACACGUCAACAAAAUAUCCAAGGAAGACAGCAGUGUACACUACCAUUACUUAACAACGCCAGCUUUAAUAGUUAUUACUCUUUGUGUUUCCUUUUACCAAAAAUUUGACUGCUUUUUUCGUUACAUUAUGUUUUUAAUUUUUUGUGCUAAUUAUUUAAUGUUGAAUAUAUAAGUUACGUAACGUACAAUAAGUCUCUUAAGGAUUUUAGUAUUAUUUUUCUGUUAAUUUCGAAGAACUUUUUGUUUAGCAAAGACACCAAAAUAAUUAUUUUUUAUUAAUUUAAAUGCUGCACUCUCGUCGUAGCUGGAAAUAUUGGAAACAAUUGAGUGUCCAGUAGCAACGAGAGUUCGUCUGUCAGGUAUUUACGGAAAGAAUCUAUAAAAUCCUUAUUAAAUGUAGAAUUUAAGAAAAGAAAUUUUAAUGUAAAAAAAUAUUUAAACAAAAAAAAAAGAUUUAUUUUUAGGCUGUGAAACAAAUCUAUUGUAAUACCAAGUGUAGGUAGGUCUACGGGUUUAACCCCACUCGAUUUUGAUAAAAAAAAAAAAAAAAAAAAAAAAAAAAAAAACAGAAAUGAUAAGUUGGUAAGUCUGUGGCGAGAUAGAGAGAGCAUGUGAAUGACAGCUGGGACCUAUGGAAGCGUAUGUGAGAGAAUUGCAUAUAAAAUUGGUUCCAUUCUCUCUUGUGGGUACCAACUGUCACAUGUUCUUUCUAUCUUGCCACAGGCGUACCAAAUUAUCAUUUCCCGUAAAAAGGUGGACAUUUCCAAAACAUAUUUGUAAUUUCAGCUAAUUUGAGACCUUUCGAAAUAUUUUCACUAAAUAAAAACCGAUUUCAGUAAACUUUUUUUUCCUUGAGAGAGUCCACAAUGUGGACUCCACAUAUUAGGUCGGUGGCCGAAAAUCUCGGGGAGAUACCACUAUACAAAUUUAAGCUUGUUUUUAGAAUUUUUUUGAAAAUUCUAGUUUAUUUCACGAAAUCGGAACGAUUUUACUAAACUUUUUCUUUGCUGAACGCUAUCGACAAGACGCGUAGUUUGACACCAAUAUGAGGUCAUUGGCAUAACGUCUCAGGGAGAUAUGACCAAAAAGUGUUUGUUUAUAUUCGACUUUCCAAGAUAUUCUCAUUAAAUCUCAAAUGAUUUCUGCAAACUUGUUUCCCUGUAGAAACGAACGCUAUAAUUCCACAAUUGCAUCACGAUUUUGAAUCAAAGCAACAUUUUCUGUGGGGCAACAACCACCAAUUUCGAAAAAAAAAAUCUGGCUAUUAAUAACCACCGGAAAAUAUCACAAAAUAUUUCUAUUUAUUGUUAUUCUAGACGCAUUGUUAUUCCAAUGCAAUACAAACCCUCACAUCGCGGAAUAGGAAAAGGUUUUUUUUGAAAUUAAUACUGAUAAUACUGAAAUGUAAUAAGUUUUUCUCCCAGACUAUUACAUUUUAGUACGUUUUGUUACGUGUCACUGAAUUAUUUUUUCAUGAACAAACUUCACUGCUGUGACAUUUCAUGGGAAUGAAUCAAUGUGAAGUUGUUACACAAAAAAAUUGUCCAGUGAGACUACAGGCCAACCGACUAGGCGAAUUGUUUUGUUACAAUUUAUACUAUUUUUGACUAGGGACCACCAAUGGUGGUAUGGUUAUUACAUCAUAAAAUUUGCAUUCUCCAUCUGCAUCAAUUUCGAUUAUGACGGUGUCAUACCCAUAGAUUUACGUUCACUUGUAAGAGCCACUUCUCUAUAAUAUUAUAUAAAGAAUAUAUUUAAACUGUUAAGACGUAAUGUAAAGAAAUACAUGCAGAGAGGAGCGCUGCCACAUUUAUACAAAAAAUCUAUUACAUAACAAACCAAGUACUAGAUUUGAACUUUUACAAUAUUAUCAAACUUGAAAAUAAUUCUGGUCAAACUUAACUUAAGAAAACUGCAUUCAAAAUGCAAUAGCAUCGUUUGAAUUAAAACUUAGAAUUAAUUAAAAGACUAAAGAAGAACCAGCCUGCGCCACCGAUUUUACGCCUCGCAGGUAGCAGGAAAACUUUAGAUAGAACUUGAAGAAAUUUGUGACAUUUCAUUGGUCAAUCAGCUUGAAUCAGCUUGUGUAAAAUGCAUGUACAGCAGUGGGAUCGAAGGAAAGCGGAAAGUGGAUUUUCGUAUAGAAUUUUAAGCACUAUAGUUCGUAAAUGUGACCCUUUGUAAAAGUGAUGAUCCCAUUGUGGUACAUAAAAUGUUGUUCCUAACUUGUGCAUUAUAAUAACUAAAAUUUGGCUCAUACGAUGUGUGCUUCGCCCCGGCUUGAUAAUUUUCACAUAUUUUGCUCAAAAUUUCCAUUCACGCACUCGUUAGGAAAAUAGCUGUUUUCGUCGACAGCUUGGUCUACAGACAUUUCUCUUGUGAGAUUUGUUUAGCGCUUUUUCAAAAGGAUGUGGUGCUGUAGACAUUAUAGCCUCGUGUGGUGUGCCAGUUAAUUUAAAGAGCAGUAAGUACCUCAUGGAAUGGCUUACAAUAGUGUGGUGAAACAAUCUGUUAGCUGAAAGUAACGUUUUUUGACGGAUGUUUAGAACAUUUCGAAUUCAUAUAAGCACCAUUUCACUGAAGUACGUUUUGCUCUAAAAUCACGGAACAAGACUGGGUUCUAUUUACAGUAUGAUAACUUCGCUAGUUUGUUUUAUAAUUGAAAAAAA